GAAGGGUGCAAGCGUUACUCGGAAUUACUGGGCGUAAAGCGUGCGUAGGUGGUGGUUUAAGUCUGCUGUGAAAGCCCUGGGCUCAACCUGGGAAUUGCAGUGGAUACUGGGUCACUAGAGUGUGGUAGAGGGAUGCGGAAUUUCCGGUGUAGCAGUGAAAUGCGUAGAGAUCGGAAGGAACAUCCGUGGCGAAGGCGGCAUCCUGGGCCAACACUGACACUGAGGCACGAAAGCGUGGGGGAGCAAACAGGAUUAGAUACCCUGGUAGUCCACGCCCUAAACGAUGCGAACUGGAUGUUGGGUGCAACUUGGCACCCAGUAUCGAAGCUAACGCGUUAAGUUCGCCGCCCUGGGAGUACGGUCGCAAGACUG
rnacentral:rRNA from 1 species